AUACCCAUCUCAUCUCAAAUGCUGUUGGGAGAGGCCUCGAAGUAUUGAAACUGUGUGGCAUGGUUAGGAAGUCUGCAUUCUGUCCUUCCUUCACUCUGGCCUUGUAUCUCUAUAGUGGCAAUGAUUCUGCUCUCUGUGGUGCCAUUUUCUGAAGCAAUCUUUUAUUUUAUCUCAUCUCUGCGGCUUGGUCUUUUGUUGUUUUUUACGAUUAUAUUCGUUCACUCUACCCUCUCUCACCUUCAUCACUUUGCUUUUUUCGUUGCACUGCAGCGAGUUCCUUGUGUUCACUGUUUCUACUGUCGUUCAUGUGACAUAAUUCAUUUGAAAAUGAAGUUGCUGCCUUGUAAAAAAAAUAGUGUUCAUGAAGUGUGCUUUUAAAUGGCGUUGUGAUUUGUCGGUUAACCUAGGAUGGUGUCAUGGAGGAGCCCCUGCGUGUAAAGUUGACAGGUGCUUGUUUUGACUGCAACAUAACAUCUGCUUGUCGUCAAUUUCUUGGUGCUUUUUGGCUCAAGAGGGGUAGGCUUACGUACCAGUUAUGAAGGAUUUGCGACAGUGAUUAGUGUGUGCAUGUCAUUGGCGCUUUUUCCUCAAUGUCCUAUCAGAACUCCCAACACCGUCGCUUAGUUGCCCGGUAUAGAUCCCUAUGUGUCAGAGAAAUUACACGGUGCAGGAGCUGGAAUGAAGUUUACUGUUGCCCAAUCCUUAAUUACUUUCUUGUUUGUGAAAAAUCGUCGGGGCACCCAGUGACAUGUUGAGUCUGUAAUCUGCAUGUCAGUACUCAGAAAUGUGAAAUGAGACAAAAUAGGGGAAACUGUGGGACAAAUUACAUGGUCCAUGCUAAAGUGCCUAUGUACUUUGGAUAGUUAAAUCUGCCGUUUCUUCAUGUAGGUUCCAUUUUCGCUGUGCUAUUAAGGCAGUACUUACACGGUCCCCAGGUACGCAUCCUCUCUUUAGCCAUCAUCACUCAACUCUUGCAGCACACAUGCGUUUAUGGCACUCCACCUGUGUAGACUAUGCUCCUGUUUGAAAACGCACCUUGUUCUUUUCCUUGAUUUGUUUGUAUUGAAGUAUCAGCUCGGAGCACCACAUCGGUAUAUGCGCAUAUUCAUUUCACCUGAGAGACGUGCUGCUAGCUGCUGUUAAACCACGCAUCCUUCAGGGAUUGUUUUUCUGCAUAAAUUUACUGAGCAAGUGCUAUGCCAUCUCAGUCUAGCUCAUUUACGGUGAGAUCACUCUCGGGCUGCUCUCAUCAAUGUGCUCAUUUCAGCUCACUGGCUUUUGUCUGUCAAAAUUGCACUGCCAGUUCCAUUUCGAAUGCCUCUGUCAGCCUCCCUUCAUGUUUCCAGUUUGGACUUCCUUUGGCAAGUUCUCUUCAGAUAGCACCAAUGUGCAUAACUAACCGCAUGUAUGUCUAUUGUUGCCGAGGUGUCGCUUGAUGCGGGUAUUAUGGUUGCACAUGCCGUCGUCACCCCUGAAGUAGUGGGUCAUAGGUUGAACGUGGGCGUUCUGGAUCUCCACCAGCCACACACUUGUUGUCAGAUCAGGUUCCUGGCAAGGAAUGUCAUCCUUGCAUCGUGCGUGAAUAUGUGGCAUGCGGUUUGUUGUGGCACACACCAGCUAGUGGGCACCCUGCUGCACUUCGUGCGUUGUGCUAGUUUGGGUCAGCAUGGAAUGUCUUACAGGCUCGAGUAGUUGAGUUGCCGUCUUUGCUCUCGAUAGGCGUGAAGAUAAUCCAGCGCUUUGCACUGGACGUGUUGUUUGGUGCCAUUGGGCUUACUGUGGUGGUUUGCUGCCUUUUGGGUGAAUUGUUUGUGUGCACGUAUGUGCCCGUAGAACACGAGACAGUGGCAUUGUCUGUAUAGUAUGGCCUUUUUUCUACCAGUGUGUUCUUGUGUACCACUGUCUGCUGUUCCUCUUUUUUUAAAUGGCCCAUUGAAACCUGUAUUGCUUAGUCUGUCUUUGCAGUUGUUCAAACACAUCUGGUCUUUUCAUUGAGGUAUGCUGCGUUGUUCUGAGAACAUUUGCUUUUAGCGACUGCCAGCCCACUUUUGUGGUGCAAGUAUGUGAUGGCACCGGCAGUAACACAUAUGCUCAGCGUGUUUAACGUCGCCGACUUGAACAGUCGAUGUGGCAAGAGAAAUUGUGCUUGCGGAACCUUAGUACGUGAUUUCCAUAUGGGCCUUUUGCUGGCCACUGUAAUCCCCACAGAAAGCUUGUCCUUGUCAGUAGGUCUUGAGUUACCGCUGCCGGAGUGUUUUUGAGAUCUGCAAGAAUAGGAAAGGAAACGACAACAUUUGGAGAUACAGCGUAGCCAUUAUUGCAUCUUGCGCAACCAUCACACAACCACUGGCUUCAUGUCUAAAACGUUUAUAUCUUUUUAUUUUCCUCUUCCGGGUGAUGUAUUACAGAGGUGCAGAACUAUUUUUGCAGAAGUUCCGCCAACUAGAAAGAUUGUUAAACUCUUCCCACAACUCACAGGUGUUUUGGAAAGAGUUGUUCUGCACCUGGGGUUUAUGUGGGUGCUUGUUAUGCCUCUCCUUGGACAGAGGCAUUUGCCGUCAUGCCAAUGGUACUGAAAACUACACUGUGUAAAUUUCCCUUAUGGUGCUCGUGUUCCCUGGCACACUAGGUAGACAGCAGGUUUUCUUUUGUUACAUGGUGUUCCUCUAAAUUAUCAUGGAAGGUGAUGCAGGGCACGCUGUACUGCCUGGCUUUCUAUAAGUAGAGAUUUAGUUGCCAUUGUUAUUAAAGUACAGAGUAAUCUGCAUUUUAAUUGCGAGUACCUUUCAAAGUAAGUGCUGCACUUACUACUACGCUCUUGUUUGGAGCAAGAUUGAACUUUUUGCUUUGCGUUCAGUAAAACACUUGGCUCCCUUGCUUGGCUGGUUCAUCUGGUACAUCUGGUUGGUUCACCAAACAUGCCAGCUUCUUCAGAAGCAUGGUACACUUUUGAAACCUCUCCGCAACUAAAGUUCUGAAGGAAAAAUAGGUAAACACUGUUAUCAAGCGCAUUACUGAACCAAGAAUAGUGUUGACCAAAACGAUGCUAUCUUUGGAAACUUGAGUGAAAGCAACCUGCAUUGACUUAGGUCGUUGGCAUUGCAUGCUGUAAAUUGAAAGUCGUUCUUGAGAGAUCAUUCGAGUACCGUUGGCAUGAUGAGCAACUCGGCUAUUUGGCGGUGAUCUCCGCAUCAUUUUGUCUGAAAGUUAAAAAGAGGAAAACACACUGCCAAUGUUAUUAUCUGCAUGUGUGCCUGCAGAUGUCGGCCUGGCACACACAUGCGACACACCAUUUAUAAAGUUUGUCGUCCUGUGUAUAGCGUGUACACUGACACGAUCGACUAUAGAUAUAAGCCACGGGACACAUACACGAUAUACUCUGGCGUUUUCUGAUUAUUUUCGCCCCAUUGCCACCACUUUCUCUGUACCUCAUGUCUGUGAAGGAAGGAAAAAAAAAAGUACAGCAAAGCGCAUUGUGCUGCUUUGAGUUUUGCAGUGAACCUGCGUGUUCUGUUUGGUUGUAUAUUUUUGAUAUACAAACGUGCACUGAAAUAAAUGUCAGAAGGUGUGCAUCUA